rnacentral:ribozyme from 1 species
UGCCCAGCAACUCCUAUCCCUACCUACGCGUGGUACUGGUUGGAAAAUAUGAGCAACCUUUGGGAAGAUCGAGUAAUCAACCUUGGUGGGAACUUCGGUCGCAGGCUGACAGGGAAGG